rnacentral:lncRNA from 1 species
AUGUUUCCACUCAAUUUUCAUUACGAAGAUGUAUCACGUCAGGAUCCGUUGCUCAAACUGAAUCACGCCAACGUUAUGGAAGUUCCUGGAUCGUGUGAAAUAAGAUUAAUUCUCCGGUCGAAAUACGGGAAAACUCCAUUCAAUUCUCGAUGGAAACGGAGUUUUGCGAAUUCUCCCCGGAACUGGAAGAUCAUUUCGAGAUCUUCGAACAUAUUCGAGGGUUCAAUGUGA